UGACAGUUGGUUCCCAGUACAUGGAAACUUAAGCAUACCAUAAUCUGAAAUCAUUUGGUUAAAUGAAAGAAAUGAUAUAUUAGAUCGUCGUUUUCCUCCUUCUUUCUCAUGGUGUCCCGUUAUUUCAUUAAAAUCUCCUAUCAUGAACCAAAGUCUAUCUCUAGUUGCGGCAAAAAACGCGUAAGACGUUCCCAAACUUGAUCUCUCUUUUCU
rnacentral:lncRNA from 1 species